AUACCAUGGUGAUGGAAUUUUCUUAACAACUCCUUAAACCUCUCACAUGCAUUAGGAACAACUUCAUCAUCCAUUUGUUUAAAAAGACAGAUUUUAUUUCUGGAUUU